UGGCUAAUGCCGGAUACGCAUGGAACCGCAUGGUUCCGUUGUGAAGGCGCUGCAAGGCGCCACUAAAAGAUGAGGGUGCGGAACAUUAGUUAGUUGGUGAGGUAAUGGCCCACCAAGACUAUGAUGUUUAGCCGGGUCGAGAGACUGAACGGCCACAUUGGGACUGAGAUACGGCCCAAACUCCUACGGGAGGCAGCAGGC
rnacentral:rRNA from 1 species